UACGAAGGGUGCAAGCGUUAAUCGGAAUUACUGGGCGUAAAGCGCGCGUAGGUGGUUCAGUAAGUUGGAAGUGAAAUCCCCGGGCUCAACCUGGGAACUGCUUUCGAAACUGCUGAGCUAGAGUACGGUAGAGGGUGGUGGAAUUUCCUGUGUAGCGGUGAAAUGCGUAGAUAUAGGAAGGAACACCAGUGGCGAAGGCGACCACCUGGACUGAUACUGACACUGAGGUGCGAAAGCGUGGGGAGCAAACAGG
rnacentral:rRNA from 1 species